CUUCGGAAUUUGAAGCUAGAG
rnacentral:snRNA from 1 species